CCUACGGGUGGCUGCAGUGGGGAAUAUUGGACAAUGGGCGAAAGCCUGAUCCAGCCAUGCCGCGUGUGUGAAGAAGGCCUUCGGGUUGUAAAGCACUUUCAGUGGGGAAGAAAGCCUUGGGGCUAAUACCCUCGAGGAAGGACAUUACCCACAGAAGAAGCACCGGCUAACUCCGUGCCAGCAGCCGCGGUAAUACGGAGGGUGCGAGCGUUAAUCGGAAUUACUGGGCGUAAAGCGCGCGUAGGCGGUCUGAUAAGCCGGUUGUGAAAGCCCCGGGCUCAACCUGGGAACGGCAUCCGGAACUGUCAGGCUAGAGUGCAGGAGAGGAAGGUAGAAUUCCCGGUGUAGCGGUGAAAUGCGUAGAGAUCGGGAGGAAUACCAGUGGCGAAGGCGGCCUUCUGGACUGACACUGACGCUGAGGUGCGAAAGCGUGGGUAGCAAACAGGAUUAGAUACCCUGGUAGUC
rnacentral:rRNA from 1 species